UACAGGGGGGGCAAGCGUUGUUCGGAAUUACUGGGCGUAAAGGGCUCGUAGGUGGCCAACUAAGUCAGACGUGAAAUCCCUCAGCUUAACUGGGGAACUGCGUCUGAUACUGGAUGGCUUGAGUUUGGGAGAGGGAUGCGGAAUUCCAGGUGUAGCGGUGAAAUGCGUUGAUAUCUGGAGGAACACCGGUGGCGAAGGCGGCAUCCUGGACCAACACUGACACUGAGGAGCGAAAGCCAGGGGAGCAAACGGG
rnacentral:rRNA from 1 species